GGGCCCGUAGCUCAGCUAGGAUAGAGCACCGGGCUUUUAACCCGGGGGUCGCGGGUUCAAUUCCCGCCGGGCCCGCCA
rnacentral:tRNA from 1 species